AUUUGACACCUACCUAAAUUCAUUUUCACCACACUUGUACAUGGAUCCCUUAAGUAAGUGACAGAUUACUAGUUCUACAAACGAUAAUGCAAAGUCGAUAUUUUAUCGAUAAAAUGAUUUUUCUGUACUUCUUAAGAAAUAAACGUCUAUCGAGUAUAUAUUACUAAAGCCUGUGAGUUUUUUUUCUUGUGAUGUUAUUUUAAUUUAACUUAAACUACAUUCCGCUAUGUUUUAUGCAAUAAAAUAGUAAAGAGGUUUUCUAUAGGUGAAUUUUUACCUAUGUCAUUCGCGCGUUUGUCAAAUUGACUGAUGUGUAUGUGUACAUAGAGUGAGGUUAAUUUUGGGUUUAUUAUUGUUGAAUAGAUAAGUUUAUUUUGGCAGAGAAGAGAAAACGAGGAUAAACUUUUCUUGCAGAAGAAAAAGACAAGCUAGUGAAAUUGCUGACGUCUCAUAGAGACACAAUAUUAAACAAAAAACGGAUGGGACCACGAACGAAGCCAAAAACAAAGCUUGGAUCCAGUCACAAAUAGUUUUAAUGCGACAGGAACCCUUUACAGUUUCAGGUGGUGCGAGAAAUUGGAAAGACGUGUAAAAACAUGCUGCGCCCAGCCCACCUCAAAUUGAAUUGGUGCAGGAGGAUGAUGAUAAUGUUUGGUAGGGUAGGGUGGUAGCCAAUGAACCGCGUGUACACUAUGAACCAUAGUACCUACCGGCCAUACCUAACGUUGCUAGCUCGCGCAAAAAUUAUGUCGAGACUCCCUUGCCACGUCAAGAAGUUUGGUCUAUUCGCCGUGGGUCUGUCGCGAUAUACUCACCUGUGAGCCGCGUCUUAGUCUUCUACUCAAGCAAAAACGGCAAAAAAAGCAUGGGGCGAAACACGGUAGGGAGGAAAGCACGUAAAAAAGGGUAUCACACCGCGGAAGCUACACAAAGAGGUAUAGAAAAAACACUUGUCGGGAUUAAGCAUUCUAAAAGCAGCAAAAACUGCAACCUUCUCUAUCCAGUAUUGCGACAGACGAAGUGUUUGUGCGGAGAUAUGUCACAAACAAAGUACCUACAGGAACAAUCCGUCUUGUAGACUAGAGCCCCAUUAUGAUGCAAGUAAAUUUUUUACUUUACAGCAUAAAGAAAUGUUGAUUGUUACAAUUUGUGAUUUGGACAAUAAAAAAACAUAAGUCUGAAUGUGAUAAAAACACGUCGACUUUAUAAUGCUAAGAGCAUUUUAAUUAAUAUAAAUAUACAAGUACAAAAUGUUUUUUUCUUUUUUCCCGGAAAGAGUUUGUGCGUAACUUUUAAGAUGUUCAUAAUUAUUGUUAAAAAUUAAGUUUUAAGGCUGAUUUGUUGGUUCUUAAACGUAUGUAUAACCCGAAACGUAAUAAUUAUAAAAAGUUAUAAAUAGUGUAUUUAUUUUUCUUUAAAACAAACAAUAUUGUUUUUUUUUAUAUUACCGUGAUUCAUUGUGUACCACAUGGUUCAUUUAGUACC